GUUCUGUCAGGUUUUGCCUCAUGGAUUUUGAAGCUCUGUUGUUAGCAAAUCCUGGUUGGUCAUGGUGGAGACUGUAAAGCAAUCAUUCUCAAGGAGGGGCUUUUUCACGCAGUAUGCCUGGAGAGAGGCUGCACCACCACCGCGUUCCUCCCCGAUGAGUCCAGUGAGCCACGGCUGCGGGCUACGGUGUUGUGGUGCUCGGGUGUGUUGGAAGGAAAUGGUUCCCGAGGCAUGCCAGCUAGCACCUGACCUACAAGAUUCCAGCUGUUUAACUGCCAUCACAAAGGCUCAUGAUGUGUUGACAGUAUUUCUGCCUGCUGCUCUGAAAAUUCAAGGAAAUAAAUACCUGACAUUUAUUGAAUGCCAGAAGCUGUUCUAAGAACUUUCUAUGUAUUAUCUAUUUUAGUCAUUAUAAUAUCCUUAUGAAAUAGGCACUUUUAUCCCCAUUUUACAGAUGAAUAAAAUAAGGCACAGAAGGGUUAAGCAACUUUCACAGGUAGAAAGCUGCACAGCCAGGAUUUAAGCCCAAGCUCUUAACCACUGCACUACAUCAAUGCAGCAAAGGCUGAAUGAACCAGAGUAUUUGAUUUACUUAGCUCUUAUGCUGGAAAGAUGGUGAGGCUUUUGCUCAUGGUCUGUAUUCAAGCACAAAUACCAAAAUCAAGGACACCUUUGCAUUGGUGCUCCAUAGGAGGUUUCCUUUUUUGUUGUUUAGAGAGAAGGUCUUACUCUGUUGCCCUGGCUGGAGUGCAGUGGUGCGAUCACAGCUCACUGCAGCCUUGACCUCCAGAGCUCAAGCAAUCCUCCACCUCAGCCUCCUGAGUAGCUGGGACUAUAGGUGCGCACUUCCACACCCAGCUAAUUUUUAAUUUUUUUUUUUUUGUAGAGACCGUCUCCCUAUAUUGCCCAGGUUGGUCUAGAAUUCCUAGGGCUCAAGUGAUCCUCCCGCCUUGGCCUAUUGGGAUUACAGAUAUGAGCCAUGGCACCCAACCUCAGAAGAGGCGCUUUUCUUGAGUUCUGGAAGGGGAUAGGAAUUAAUGUUUUGUUUGUUUGUUUGUUUUUUACUCGUCACAGAAAAGGUUCAAAGAGUAAGAUAAGCAACGUCUCAUAAUGCUGUAGUCUAAUGGACAAGGGCCCUAGCCAUCUGUGCCUGGAUGACUCUUCCUCCCAAUUUUUAAGUGUCAAAAGAUAAUUUAGAAUCUGGCAUUCUGCAUUAGAAAUCUGAACCAGUGGAGCUGUGUGCUGAUUUUCAUCAGCUUAAGUUGUCUUUAUUGUCAGUGGCUUCCUUUCCCCACAGCAGCUUUAUGGAGGCACGUGCCCAGGCAUAUGAGGAGCUUCUGUCCUUUAGUGUAUGUACACCCACAAUGCUGCAGAGAAGAGAAUCAGCAUACUGUUGGGACACAGCAGGUACCACUGCCUUCUGAAGUUUCUAGAGGUGCUAUGCCUUCAUUGUUUUCCUGCACAUGAACAUUAACAUCCACAUCAGGAUCUGGAAACCUUUACAGAAGCUGAAGUUUUAAAAAGAAAAUGAAUGGGAUUUUAUUCAAGAUAAGGAAAGGAUAAGAGUGAAUCAUCAAAUGAAACCAUGAGGCCACUUCACAAAUAUUUUAUCAAAAAACUCACCUGAGAAAACUCAAAGAAUCACAGUAAUAAGCUGUCUAUGCCAUAUUUUUUUUUUCCUUUUUUGAAAAUGCCAAGAAGCUACUACUAAGAAUGUAUUCAAGAGACGGAAGUUCCAAGAUUCAUCACAGGGUCAGGUGGGCUCAACUUAGUUUCCUGGGCCCUCUAUAACACUUCAUGUUCAGAAUUGUCUCCAAAUAAAAGCAAUUUAAGGGAACAUUCAAUAUGGGUGUCUUUGCUGUGCUUGCAGUCUUAAUUCUGUGGACACUGAUAUUCUAUCAAUGGAAAAUUGAGCCUUUAGUGAACUUGAAUACCCUGUUCCCCAAUCACUGCCCAGAGAGCAGUUUCUGAGCAGCCAACAUGUCAGAGGCAGGAAAACAGCAGCUAAAAGGCAAAGGAGAAAAAUGGAAGACACCUGCCUUUACACGUGUAUUUUAAGCUAAAUAACCAUGAUAAAAUAUCACCAACACCCAUUUUUUGUAACUUCUUAAUUGUCCCACAUCAAAGAUAAGUAUGGACAACUGUAAUUGGUUCUUAUAUAUCCCUAAAUUCCUAAUUGAAAUCAAUUCCAAUAAAUCGUUGGUGCUCAGUAGAAAAAUGCAAAAUUUAAAUAUAUAUAUUCAGUAGAAGUUACCUUCAUAACUUGUGGGGCAUUAUCAAAAUAUAAUUGGAAACCCCUCUUUGUAACCAACUAACCAAAUGAUCUUUUCUUAAAGGCACAAAUUAAAAGGUGGCAAAACAACCAUAUAUUUAGUGUGUGGGAUCACAUUCUCCUAAAGAGCAUCAGGAAAUGUAGGUAGAAGUCAAUGUUGUAGCCUAGGUUAGAAGGCCCUGCUUGCUGGGAGUUAACUCUGGUUAUUGGAUUGUGGGGAGGUGUGGCAGGGAAGGUGGUCAGGGGAACACGGGCACUCCAGAAGCUCGGAGCAGCAGCUCAUCAGCUGUGAGGCACCGUCAGCAUCCUUGCGUCCUGUGUGGCUGUGAGGCACUGUCAGCAUCCUCGCGUCCUGUGCGGCUGUGAGGCACUGUCAGCAUCCUCGCGUCCUGUGCGGCUGUGAGGCACUGUCAGCAUCCUCGCGUCCUGUGCGGCUGUGAGGCACUGUCAGCAUCCUCGCGUCCUGUGCGGCUGUGAGGCACUGUCAGCAUCCUCGCGUCCUGUGCGGCUGUGAGGCACUGUCAGCAUCCUCGCGUCCUGUGCGGCUGUGAGGCACUGUCAGCAUCCUCGCGUCCUGUGUGGCUGUGAGGCACCGUCAGCAUCCUCGCGUCCUGUGCGGCUGUGAGGCACCGUCAGCAUCCUCGCGUCCUGUGUGGCUGUGAGGCACCGUCAGCAUCCUCGCGUCCUGUGUGGCUGUGAGGCACCGUCAGCAUCCUCGGUCCUGUGCGGCUGUGAGGCACCGUCAGCAUCCUCGCGUCCUGUGUGGCUGUGAGGCACCGUCAGCAUCCUCGGUCCUGUGCGGCUGUGAGGCACCGUCAGCAUCCUCGCGUCCUGUGUGGCUGUGAGGCACUGUCAGCAUCCUCGCGUCCUGUGUGGCUGUGAGGCACCGUCAGCAUCCUCGCGUCCUGUGUGGCUGUGAGGCACCGUCAGCAUCCUCGGUCCUGUGCGGCUGUGAGGCACUGUCAGCAUCCUCGCAUCCUGUGCAGCUGGGCCAGGACAAACUGGCUGAACUGCAGCUCUGCUUGCAGCUUGCUAGAAAUACAACUUGGUAACAACAGGAGAUUGUGGACACACUAUUUUUCGUUAGUUUAUUACAAAACUACAGAUACAAUACACAAAAUUCUAAUUCCGAAAUCCUUCUACAUUUUUU
rnacentral:lncRNA from 10 species